rnacentral:rRNA from 1 species
UACGUAGGGUGCAAGCGUUGUCCGGAAUUAUUGGGCGUAAAGAGCUCGUAGGCGGUUUGUCGCGUCUGCUGUGAAAACCCGAGGCUCAACCUCGGGCCUGCAGUGGGUACGGGCAGACUAGAGUGCGGUAGGGGAGAUUGGAAUUCCUGGUGUAGCGGUGGAAUGCGCAGAUAUCAGGAGGAACACCAAUGGCGAAGGCAGAUCUCUGGGCCGUAACUGACGCUGAGGAGCGAAAGCAUGGGGAGAGAACAGG